CGGACAUGGCCCAAGUCACGUCAGGACAAGAUGGGGAAUUCGAAGUUGAGAAUCAGACGCCACUCUCGUCGUGGUGCAUACGCAACAGAGGAGGCCUGUAUUCCAUAUUUUAAACUUAUUCCGGCUCGGAUUCCUCCCUCCUCCUCCCGACUCCGUCCCUUGCUUAAAACCCACAAUUUCAGCUUACUUAUACUGCUAUGCUUCUCUAAUUCUCCAGAAUUCCCCCUACGUAUGCAGCCGGCUCCACCUUUAAAUCUUCAAAGCACCACUACCACCAUUACUCUCUGAAGUCUCUCUCUCAAUCGCUCUUUCAAUACGGUCCCCUGCGAUUGCCUUCACCUCCGCAGCCUUCCGCCGCCAGUCGUCUUACUCGUCCAUUUCCAAUAAUGUCGUCCUACUCUUCUCAACCUCAGACUCACGUUGUUCAAACAGUUUCUAUUUCAUACACGCAACUCAAGGAUAAAGGUGCUGAUUUGUCCGCAAAGAUUGAGGAAGGCUUUGGGCCAAAUGGUUUGGGAAUUCUUUCUAUAGCAGAUGUUCCUGGGUAUUCAUCAUUGCGUCAAAGCCUUCUCCAUCUUUCACCUCGAUUAGCAGGCCUUUCAGAUGAUCAGAAGAGGGAGCUCGAAGACCCUGAUAGUAGAUACAACUUCGGAUGGAGUCAUGGAAAAGAGAAGCUUGAAUCCGGAAAGCCAGAUACACUGAAAGGGUCAUUUUACGCAAAUCCAGUACUAGAUAAACCUACCAGUGAUCCAGCCCUUAUUCAACGGUACCCUUCAUACUGUGGAGCAAAUAUUUGGCCUCGUAGUGCUCUCCCAGAUCUCGAACCAGCUUUUAAAGCUCUCGGGAAGCUGAUUCUGGAAGUUGGGAUGUUGUUGGCAUAUCACUGUGACCUCUAUGCAUUUCAAGGGAUGAAAAUGCUUGAGGAUGAAGGCCUUGAACAGAUACUUCGUCGCUCAAGAUGUCAUAAAGGUCGUCUGUUGUACUAUUUUCCUGCAAAACACAGUAGUUGCAGUCAGGAUGGUGAGUUGAUGUCAUCUUGGUGUGGAUGGCACACUGAUCAUGGUUCUCUCACGGGUCUCGCGCGUGCCAUGUUUAAGAAGGAUGCUGUAGAAAUAUCUUGCCCUGAUAAUGCUGCUGGGCUUUAUGUAAAAUCACGUGGUGGCCAAUUAGUCAAAGUGGUGUAUGGGGAAGAUGAAAUUGCAUAUCAAAUAGGUGAGACAACUGAGAUAUUGUCCAGAGGUCGGCUCUGUGCAACACCGCAUUGUGUUCGGGCACCCCUGGGGGAAGCAGCAUUUGGCGUUGAUCGUUCGACAUUUGCAUUAUUCAUGCAGCCUGACUGGUUUUAUUAGUUAUUCUCAUAAGAUCAAGGGGCUGGAGGAAAGUGAGAGAACGUGGAACGGUAAUGUGGAAUCUAGCGGUGCAUCUUUUUAGGUGAUUGUCCAACAGAAGUCCUCAGAAAAUAAUUUGUUGUACAUUUCUUAGGUUCAACAGUCUAGAGGUAUAAUAAACUGCUAAACUGUAGAUGAUUUAUGGAGUGGACGCAGUAAAGCGGGAAUACGUUAAAGUCACUAACUGUGUAGGACUGCCUUCUGCGGGAACUCACGACAGUUGCGUAUUAACGGUCAAUUACGCCCCUGCACCUGUAUAGCUAUUCCUUUUGUUGGCGGGAUUUGGGACGAAAAGCUCAAGUUUCCGGAGGUGGUGCAUAUUCAUCAAGAGUUAAUUCCAUCUCGUGGAUCUCUUACUUUCGGCGAGUAUACGGAGAAGCUGCUCGACAAGUAUUACCACCUGAAGAUGUAGAUACGAUGAUAUUUUACUUUUUAUGGGUAUGUAUAUGAUCCAUAUAACAAAAAGUUCGAGUCUUGUAAAACUCUCGUCUUUGUCUUUCGCAUAAACUGUCCCCCAAACUGUGUGUAAAUUAAUUUUUGCAUUGUAUAAAUGGUUCCCUAAUCUGUUAUUCGUAUACCUCCACCACCGAAAAGUCAACAGGCGUGCCCAGCUUGUUGAAGCUCGCAAAGCAAAAAGAUAUCUUGAACGAGUAAAAAGAUAGAUCCUCUAAUCAAAAGAGAUAUCUUGGUAAUCAUACGGCUUUGAUUUUGGAAUGAUUGUUUCGAUUUUGUAAAACUGAAAAAGCUACGAGAUUUAUAGUAAUUCUUUUAGUUAGCAG